UACAGAGGUCUCAAGCGUUGUUCGGAUUCAUUGGGCGUAAAGGGUGCGUAGGCGGCGCGGUAAGUCGGGUGUGAAAUCUCGGAGCUUAACUCCGAAACUGCAUUCGAUACUGCCGUGCUUGAGGACUGGAGAGGAGACUGGAAUUUACGGUGUAGCGGUGAAAUGCGUAGAUAUCGUAAGGAAAACCAGUGGCGAAGGCGGGUCUUUGGACAGUUCCUGACGCUGAGGCACGAAGGUCAGGGGAGCAAACGGG
rnacentral:rRNA from 1 species